GCUGGUCCCUGGAUCUUAAACCCAAGCAAGGAGGAACUCUGCCCCGUGGCUGCCCUCUGGCAGUGCACCUUCCCACAGGACUAGGAUGAUGGCCCACCUGGAGCCUGAAUGAUCUCCAAGAGUACUCAGGUCCCUGCGAAGAAGUAUUUGUCAAGGUGGGAGGAAAGAUUUCAUGCCACAUCUUGUAUUCAGAGAUAGUUUACAAAAUUCACGUUUUUUCCAGUGUUGUUUUUUUUUUUAAUUUCAUUUUUUAUAGUUACAUUUUGGCUUGCUUUUCCCCUGGAAGGAAAACAACAGUAAAGAUGGAGAGAUUGAAAUUCAAGUCAUAGGAUGUCCACUGAAUAGAGGAGCCUGAGGAAAGAACAGAGAAGUCUGAGAACUCUGUUGGCAAGGCUGAGGAAGAAUUCUCCUUUUCCAACAGGAAGGAAGAGCCAGGAGACAUGAAACUGGAGCAAAGAAGGUGAAAAUCUGAGAGAAUUCACAUUGCAAAUAACCAUCUCACCACAGAUAAAAACAGCAAGGCACCUGCUGAAAGAGAGGAAGCCAGAUGUGAGUUGGGGAGUCUCAGCGGAGAUGAACUUUUUCUAGCAGCAUCCAGCUUUAAGUGGCCAGGCUGCUAAAUUUGCAGUGUCACUUCAACUUUUGUUUUGUUUUGUUUUUUAGGUUUCUGUCAUAGGGCACAUGUGCUCCCUGGAGAGAGAC